UGGUACAGUUGAUAAGUUCUAAAAACCUGUUAUGCAUUCCUUAUCAAUGCAACAUUUAUUUUUUAUAACUUUUAACCUUGGUUCCAACUUUAACUGCAACGUGUGGACCGCCUUCAUCUGGUACGAUUGUUUCAUUGUGGUCUGGGUCAAGUGGACCGUGUACAUCUUCUACGAUUGUUUCAUGUUCAUCCACAACAACUGUUCCACCUGCUCAACCUUCUGCUGAGCUUACAUAUGAAGCCUACAAAAUUUACAGGACCCAGCAUCCUGGAACCACCAACAACAAGUCAUAUUUGCGUUGGGUCCGAUUUGGGGGCAAAGAUGACCUCCUUUUUAGAUGGCCCUAUUACAACUCUGGGGACAACGGCAGAGGAGGUACUGGAAGUGGUCGUACCAGAAGAGGUUGACAAAGGACGAAUGGUGGCAGCCAUUAUGCUAAAUAUAAACAGUUAAAAAGUUAA
rnacentral:lncRNA from 1 species